AUUUCUGGCUUUUCCCAAAAGUCAAAAUGACCGUCAGAGUUGAACACUGUGAAUCAGUUCAGGAUACCAAGAGUGCCUGGACAGGACAACUUGAGAGACUCCUGAAAGAAGACUCCAGAACUCUUCAGAAAGUGGCAAAAAUGAUGUGGUGCUCCAACUAACAGCUGCAAAAAGAAAGCGUGGCGGACAAUAGAAUGGAGGUGAUGGUGAUGUAGGAUUGAUGAGUCUGUGAAUGCAGACAGCACAGCACUCCUGCCCCUCACUGUCACCGCAGCGAUCUAUGGCUCCUGGACUCCUUUAUAGUCCUACCGCAUAACUUCCCAAUGGUAUGUCUGUAUCGAUAAAAAUGGCCAUAUAAACAUACAUUGUUUUUCUUUUAA